AAGAUUCCGAAUAUUUCCGAUUAACAUUACUGACGUACAAAAUUUCUGUAAGGAUUAAUCCUGUUCGAGUCACCUUUAGAAGUUUGACGCAGAACUACCUGAAGUUGGAUUAUUGUCAUCAAAAAGAUGAGCUUGAGUAAAAAUUACCUCCUGGAAUGUUUAUCAGCAGACAAAAAGGCCACCAUCCCUCUCAAAGAACAGUGUCUUCUAAAAAUAGCAAUACAUCUAUGUCUUUAUUCUGAACUCAGAAAUUACAUUUUCAAAGCACCACAGCAAAAUCUUGAAGCAUCUAACCGGGAACAGAGAAACUUUGAAGAACUUUCCAAGACAAUAAUUAAUACUCUUAUUCUCCCAUUUGAUUUGCACGGAAAAUUGCUUGCUUUCAUUCAUUCAGUGAAAAGACAGUUGAUUUUUUGGAUUAACCAUCUAGAAAAAUUCACCAUUUCACAUGAUAUUUCUGCUUCUGUUGUCACACCAGGAGACUGGACAGUUGAAGGUGUAAUUAAUGCAAGGGGAAUAGCAAAGCGCUUAGUGAUUGAUGGACGAAUCCCUGUCUUUCAUCGUUAUCAUAUAGCAUAUUCAUAUUUUUUAUAAAAUUCUAUUUUGUCUUUGUGGAAGCUUAUUUCACCAGUACACCAACAAGUCCUAGUUCGUCCGUCAGGUACUUGAGAAUUUUGGGUAAUUACUGUGUGGUCUCAUUAUUUACCAUGAUUGAAAACUAAAUAGGAAUUUUUUACAUCUUUCUAUUGGCUGCGAUAGGAGAAGAAAUAAUAACAAUAAUUAAAUGUUGUAAAUCGCUGGAUAAAAGUUCAAGUGAGAGUAAAGUUAUAAAUGCUGCUUUAGUUGCAGUGCAAGGGAUAUAUUGUAACAGUUUCAGUUUGGAAAUGAGCAGGGAUGAAUCUCAAAUGCUUUUACUGGGUUAUACAGAUAUUUUGUGCAUGCUUCUGUCUCAAAUGACUGCUGAGGAAAGACUAUCAUUUUUUAGAAGGGUACUUUAUCUGGAACACUUUUCUGAACAUGACUAUUGCAUCCAUGAAUGCUUUUUACAGCAGCCAUUCCAGAGCAAUUUUAUGCCGCUAAAACUGAAUUGAAAAAAUAUUUUAAAUGCACAAGUAUUUCGUAGGCUCCAUGCUAAAAUUGCAAACAUGAAAAAUUGGUACUUUGAUAUAAAUGCAUUUGAAUUUUUGGGAAAGGACAUUGAGAAAAAUAAAUCUCUGUAUGUACAGGCAAACCCUGCUCAUCAUGAUUAACUAAUCCAUUAACUAAUGUACAUUAACCAAAAUUGUAUUGAGUAAAAUAAACAGCAAGAACUGCUGUAUUUCAUUCUA